UGCUCAGUAGUCAGUGUAGGAUCUGUCUGACCACACGAACAGCUACAUCUGAUUACUGGGUCUC
rnacentral:pre_miRNA from 1 species